GGAGAUGGAGAGAUCAGGAGACGGAGCAGGAACAGAGUGGUCAGAGCACAGGAGGAGCGAGAUGUGACAACAACAGGACAGCUCGGUGGCUGGAUCUCACUUGUGGAUCAGGCUGAGGUAGCAGCUGUGGGAAUUAAUGCUACAGCGCUGGAGGCGAGGCUGGAGGUCCUGAUUUUGCACCAGCUCUGUGGAUGCAGCAGCCCGGGAGCCAUUUUUAAGGCAGCUCAUGAAGAGCAAUGACAAGGGAGACUAACAAACAUUUCAUACUUCAAGGUGAAAAGCGCUUCCUGGUAUCCAGGUGUUCUAGCAGGGAGAUGUACUGCUGUGUUUCCUGGGUCUCUUCC